AACGAACGCUGGCGGCGCGCUUAACACAUGCAAGUCGAACGAUUAAGACUUCCUUCGGGAAGUGUAUAAAGUGGCGCACGGGUGAGUAACACGUAAGUAAUCUGCCUUCGAGUGGGGAAUACCUUCGGGAAACCGAAGAUAAUACCGCAUAAUGCAGCGGCACCGCAAGGUGACAGUUGUUAAAGGAGCAAUCCGCUUGAAGAGGAGCUUGCGGCAGAUUAGCUAGNGGUAAGGUAAUGGCUUACCAAGGCUACGAUCUGUAUCCGGUCUAAGAGGACGGUCGGACACACUGACACUGAAUAACGGGUCAGACUCCUACGGGAGGCAGCAGUCGGGAAUUUUGGGCAAUGGGCGAAAGCCUGACCCAGCAACGCCGCGUGAA
rnacentral:rRNA from 1 species